GGAGAGAUGGCUCAGUGGUUAAGAGCACUGGCUGCUCUUCCAGAGGACCUGGGUUCAACUCCCAGCACCC
rfam:Neotoma lepida isolate 417 scaffold_8, whole genome shotgun sequence.